AACAAACGCUGGCGGCGUGCCUAAUACAUGCAAGUCGAACGGGGAAAGCUUUCGGGUGAGUACUAGUGGCGCACGGGUGAGUAACGCGUGGAUAAUCUGCCUUAGAGUGGGGGAUAACUAGUCGAAAGAUUAGCUAAUACCGCAUAAGACUACAAGAACUGCGGUUCAAGAGGUCAAAGGUUUUUCGCUCUAAGAUGAGUCCGCGUAAGAUUAGCUAGUUGGUGAGGUAACGGCUCACCAAGGCAACGAUCUUUAACUGGUCUGAGAGGAUGAUCAGUCACACUGGAACUGAGACACGGUCCAGACUCCUACGGGAGGUAGCAGUAGGGAAUAUUGCACAAUGGAGGAAACUCUGAUGCAGCGACGCCGCGUGGGUGAUGAAGGCCUUCGGGUCGUAAAGCUCUGUCGCAGGGGAAUAACACAAUGAAUGUACCCUGUAAGAAAGGAUCGGCUAACUUCGUGCCAGCAGCCGCGGUAAUAC
rnacentral:rRNA from 1 species